rnacentral:lncRNA from 1 species
UCAGAUUAUUUUGCAUCAACCAUUCUUUAUUAUUCUGUUGUAAAAGAAAACAAUUGGUAUGUUUGACAGAAUCGAUCCUAAUGUAUGACUGGUAUUUAAUAUAAGGUUUCUAUUUUGAAUAUAGAAGAUAUAAAGUUAAAAAUACUCAGGAGAGAAGAAAAUUGAAUCUACCUCAGUUUGGAACUGGAGCCUAUUUACUCCUCAAAGAAAUGACUUCCAGUUCCUUUCUAAAAUAUUUGUCUUCCUUCUUACUAAAUAUGUUUUAAUUGCUAUUUUACAUUUCCUUUAUUGUUGCAAGAUAAAGUCAGAACAGGUCAAGCCUCUGGUACUUUAUGUCUUGCUCUUUCCCCCCUAUUUAAGUACUAUGUUUUGGACAAACAUUUAGAUAUCUGUUCUUGAAUUUUUCUCAAACCCAAAACUUUGAGCAAAUUGAAACCAUUAAUGUUUCAAUUAUUGCUGAAUAUACAGAAAGGAAAUAAGCACUUGAGGCUUAGAGCUACCAAUUACAUCAAUUAUUCCUGAAUUGAAUGGGAAAUUUCCUCUGUAAUUUCAGUGCUGUAUUUGUGAAGUUAAGUUUUUAUAAAUAGUUCUAAUGACAUAUUAUACAAUAGUUUUUUUUUUAAAAAAAGGAAAAGGAAAAAAGACGUUCUGUUAAUAAUAAUCUGUUGAAUUGUUCAGAUGCUCUGUGAUUAUGAUGAUGAUGAUGAUGAUGAUGGUCACUCAUCAUUUGAUGUUUGUUUGUGUUGACACCUUUAUUGUUACCAAACCAUUGAGGAGAUCAAUAAGAAUUACAAAUUAAAUCAAAACAAAGAUUUCUUAAACAAAUAUAAAGUCUUUUUGUAGAGCAAUAAGAUAACUGUAAGAAAGCUUGAAAACUUAGUUGUAAAUAAGACAAAA